ensembl:lncRNA
UUUCUAAACAAAUAAAUACAGGUUAGAUGAGAAUAAGACACUUCUUUCAAAAGCACUAAAAAUAGUAAUGCUUCCAAACUUUUGACUGAUACUAUAUUUUUAUAUAUAUAUAUAUAUAUAUAUGUGUGUGUGUGUGUGUGUUAAUUUAUGUUUAUUUCUGUUUUCUCAGCCUUUAUGCUUCUGGCAAAUAUGUCCUCAACAAAGGUUUAUCUUCGCUAUGUAGUACUCAAUUUCAUUGAGCAAAAUGAGGUUGAGGUGGCACCACCUUCAUGGCUUGAAAGGAUCAAUGGGGUACUAUUCUGCUAUUGGCCAAAUUCAAAUGUUGGGACCAAAGUCCAAAAAUGUGUCAUUCCAGACAAACAACUCUGGACAAAAUAUGCUCUCAGAGUAUUUUCUGACACAGACAGUUACAACCUAGCAACGUAUCGGGUCCAAAAAGCUGUUGAAACUUCCCAUGUUGAGGACUCGGAUGGAAAUUUUUCCCGAAAGAUUACACCACCAAGAAGAUUUAGAGGUAUAAAAUCUGUGCUGACACUGUAAAUAAGGUAAAGUUUUCAUACUGAAAGACCAUUGCAGUUGUAACUUUUGUUUCUUGCAGAAGAAGAACUUCAGGCCACCAAACCUAGAAAGACACGUUGUGAAGAAAUGAUUCACAAAGGCCAGAACAUUAAAGGGAUAUUACCCAAAAAUGAAAAUUCUGUCAUCAUCCUCACUCUUGAGUUGUUCCAACCCUGUAUAAAUAUAUUUGUUCUGCUGAACACAAAGGAAGAUAUUUUGAAGAAUGUCUGUAACCCUUUGGAACAACUCAAGGGUGCGUAUGAUGACAGAAUUUUCAUUUUUGUCUUAAGAAAUAUCAAAAGGUCCUUGCUAAUAUUUUGUUUUGUUUUGUUUUCAGCUGGGGAGCCUGGUGAAGGUAAACUACGAUUUCUUUUCAUUUGUUUGCUAUAGUCUGAAGUUGCUAUAGUUUUACUGAUAUAUAUAUUUUUGUUUUAUUUUUGGAGUUAGAUGAGGAGCACCCAGUAAAAAAAAAAAAGAUCUAAUGUGAUUUUGCCUGAGGCACCUUCCUGUGAGUAAAAUCUCAAUGCAAUCAAGGUUAAAGUCAGUCUACCAUGUUUUUGUUAUAAUGUUGAUUACUAAAAAAAAAAUUCAUUCAAAACAUGCAAAACUCUAAUAGUUAUUGUUACAUAAAAAUAUUUUUAAAGAUAUUAUGUCAUGAUUUAAACAUGCUAAUAAUAUUGUCUUUAUGACUGUACAGCUGAACACUGUACAACUCAAGAGUGUGACUGUUGGACUACCAAUAGGUCAUGAAAUGUUUAAUCUAAUCAUUUUUUUUUCUUGUACACUGUAAAAAGUGAUUCUCCAUAUUUACUCAAUAAAAUUGUGACAACAGAUUACAAGCAAUAUUAUUAAUUAAAUUUAACACAUUAGAAUUAAUUAGAAUUAACCAUUCAAAAUGAGUAGAAUAAAAUGAAAAAAAUAAAGUAAAAUUUACACAAAAAUAUUGAUUUCAUUGGACAAAAAAACAAACAAACAAAAAACAUUAUGCCAAAGAAUACUAUGUUAUGCAUGCAAGGCUAGUAGUAGGCGAUCAUGAAACACCCUGUGAAAACAUUAUAUGCAUACACAUGAUGUCAACCU